rnacentral:rRNA from 1 species
AGGAUCAUUACAAUCCAUAUGCGUGUGGUAGGGCGACCUGCCGUACGAAUAUUAAACCUGCCGGUUUCCCGAGAGGGGGCUGGUUGGAAGAAAUAAAUGCGUGUUAUGUUGACAGUGUGUGAGUGACUAUUAAUUAUUGACAACUUUUAACAAUGGAUCUCUAGGCUCUUGCAGCGAUGAAGAACGCAGCAAAAUGCGAAACGUGAUGCGAUUUGCAUGAAUCUGUGAGUCAUCUAAUCUUUGAACGCGAAUGGCACUGUUACGUAAGUGGCAGUAUGUCUGUUUGAGAAUCGCAAAACAAGAUCAACUCUAGUUGAGAGUUGGGAGUGGCCUUAUAUGCGUGCGUAUUUGGCUUGAAUUGAUCGAGUUGAUGAGCUUCCCAGCGCGGCUCAAUGUGUGCUAGCGAGACAGUCGUCCCGAUCUCACAUUAUUGCUGCGUUGCAGAGUUCUGACCACAGCUCGGUAAACACCUAUAAUAUCAAUUACGAUCUCAAAUCAGGCAAGAUUACCCGCUGAACUUAA